rnacentral:lncRNA from 1 species
CAUUCUGAGGGAUUGUAGAUGGAUUAGUGGCUGCAGGAUGAGAUGCUUGUGAAUGAGGAAAUGUGGAGGCAGCCUGAGGAUAGGGUGCCCCUGCUUGAGGUGCUUGAGAAGCAAAUGAAGUGGGAGGUGCUUGAGAAGCAAAUGAAGCGGGAGCAGCAUGAGUUUGUGGACCAGCAGCUGCAGGCUGAGGUGCCUGGGAGGAGACAUAAGAUGGGACUGCCUGUUCAGGGUGCACAGAUGGGUUUGCAGGUGGUACCUCUGAAUGUGAUGAGGUGGGCACAAAAAUAUCUUGCUGCCCGGGUGCAGCAUUCGAUCCAAAAGAGAGGUCGCCAAGAGUGUCUCCAAAACCAAAGCUUGCUGCUGAAGCAGGCUGGAAAGGAUUUGCAUCUGCAGCAGGUUCAGUAGCAUGGAAAGAACCAGCAGGUGCAGCAUUUGUCUGAGAAACUGCAGGAGUUUCUUCAUGA